UGGUGGUUCCCUGAUGAAUAGCAAAGCUAG
rnacentral:piRNA from 1 species